CUGUCUCUCUGUGUCCUUCACCCUCACUCUCUCUCAUCUCCAGGCUGAGGGAUGUCGGUCUCACAGAUUCUGGUGCCGAGGAUCUCGUCUCCGCUCUCAGUACAAACCCAUCACUGACGGAGCUGAGCCUGAGUCGUAAUGAACUGGGAGAUUCAGGAGUGAAACUGGUGUCUGCGGCUCUGAGGAACCCAGAGUGUAAAAUACAGAAACUGUGGCUGGGGGAUGUCGGUCUCACAGAUUCUGGUGCCGAGGAUCUCGUCUCCGCUCUCAGUACAAACCCAUCACUGACGGAGCUGGACCUGAGUGGUAAUGAACUGGGAGAUUCAGGAGUGAAACUGGUGUCUGCGGCUCUGAGGAACCCAGAGUGUAAAAUACAGAAACUGUGGCUGUGGGAUGUCGGUCUCACAGAUUCUGGUGCCGAGGAUCUCGUCUCCGCUCUCAGUACAAACCCAUCACUGACGGAGCUGGACCUGAGUGUUAAUAAACUGGGAGAUUCAGGAGUGAAACUGGUGUCUGCGGCUCUGAGGAACCGGGAGUGUAAAAUACAGAAACUGUGGUAAGUACCAGACUGUGGGAGAUUGUGUUUACAGUCACUGGGUGUCUGACACUGAACAUUAAUGUGAUCAGUAAUUGUGUUACUGAUAAACACUGGGGAUUUGUACCGUCUCCUGUCUCUCUGUGUCCUUCACCCUCACUCUCUCUCAUCUCCAGGCUGGGGAAAGUCGGUCUCACAGAUUCUGGUGCCGAGGAUCUCGUCUCCGCUCUCAGAACAAACCCAUCACUGACGGAUCUGAACCUGAGAUCAAACUCUCUGACAAACCGAUCUGUCCCCGGUCUCCGCCGCCUCAUACUGACCCUCCCGAGUCUGGUG